CACGUAGUUAGCCGUGGCUUGCUCCUUAGUUACCGUCAUUAUUCUUCACUAAGAACAGAAGUUUACAAUCCGAAAACCGUCUUCCUUCACGCGGCGUUGCUGCAUCAGGCUUUCGCCCAUUGUGCAAUAUUCCCCACUGCUGCCUCCCGUAGGAGUCUGGGCCGUGUCUCAGUCCCAAUGUGGCCGUCCAACCUCUCAGUCCGGCUACUGAUCGUCGACUUGGUAGGCCGUUACCCCACCAACUAUCUAAUCAGACGCGAGUCCAUCCUUAGGCGCCUCAGCUUUGGUAUAUCUACGAUGCCGUUAAUAUACUUUAUAUGGUAUUACCGUCCGUUUCCAGACGCUAUCCCUUUCCUAAGGGCAGGUUACUCACGCGUUACUCACCCGUCCGCCACUCAGUCAUAUCAGAUUUCUUCCGAAGAAUCCAUCAUCAAGCUUCGUUCGACUUGCAUGUGUUAGGCACGCCGCCAGCCGUUCGUCCUGAGUCCAGGAUCAAACUCU
rnacentral:rRNA from 1 species